rnacentral:misc_RNA from 1 species
GUGUGGACAAACCACUGAUUACGAACCAACCAAAUUAACUCCAGUUUUGCGCACCGCGACUUAAUCUGAUAUCCUCAAGAAAAUUGGAUGGAGUUGGAGUUUUGCGUGAUUCUUGCAGUGGGAUUCAACUAAUCGGGUUUUUUUACGACCAGAUAAUCGCUCUUCUACUCGCUCAACACUAUUUUCGAUUUUCAUCUAAUAACAAAACACUCAACCCAGAUGUCGAUCUUGAAGCCUGACAAAACCCUUGUGGUAGGAAAGGGUUUUUCUAUUUUAGACAAAAACGUAAACAACAUUAGUCUAGUGUUGUAAAUACAGCUAUUUCAAAAACAGUUGGUGAAGAAUAUUUUGUUGCAUGUUGUGUGCUGCAUAUAUCUUGAUUGUUGCUUACUAACAGAACUCUUGAAACGUAUAUUAAUGCAAAUAUGCCGGGAAAAGGUACAGAUAAACAAAUAAAAUGCCAUAUCGAUAUGACCUCUCGCUGAUUGAAUUCAAAUCUCUCAUAUUGUAGUUCGGGCUUGUUAUGCAAAAAGCAAGAUAGCUGUAUAAAUGGAAGAUUGUAUGAUUAUGGUGGUACAAUUAAAUGCAAUCAUUGAAAUUUUGAAAAAGCAUUGAUCAAGUAUCGGGCAUUUUGACAGCAGAUUCAUCUAGGGUCCUCGCAGUAUUUUAAAGGUUAAAGCGACACCGGGCAUUCUGACAGCAGAUUCAUC